rnacentral:rRNA from 1 species
CGCGUAGGCGGGAUGGCAAGUCGGUCGUGAAAUCCUUCGGCUCAACCGAAGAACGUCGAUCGAUACUGCUGUUCUUGAGGGUUGCAGAGGAGACUGGAAUUCCCGGUGUAGCGGUGAAAUGUGUAGAGAUCGGGAGGAACACCGGUGGCGAAGGCGGGUCUCUGGGCAAUUCCUGACGCUGAGACGCGAAAGCGUGGGGAGCAAACG